AACACGAAGCUAAAAAAAAGAAGUUGAACUCAAUUCGUUUCAAUCUCUUCUCUUCUCUCUCACUCCCUACCGAUCUGUCCCAAUCUCGUCGAUUCUGUCCAUCCUCUCUCGCGAGCCCUACGCCGUCUCAACAAAAAUGAACAACAUCUGGACGACGCCGUCUCUAAACCAGAGAUCCGUCUUCUCUCUUUGACUUCCCCCGCUUCUUCCAUGGCUGAAACCCUCCAAAAUCCUAACCCUAACAUCUCUGCCUAUUACCAGACUAGGGCCGCUCACCACACGUCAUCACCAGCGACUGGCUUGCCCAGGCCCAGGUGGCCGUCGGCAAUAAAACUAAUGAAGGCAGAGAGCAGGACUAAGAGAUAUCGGACCAAAAGGCAGAUAGAGCUAGAGAACGACAGAGAGAGAGUGUGAGCGACGAGCGAUCGAUUCCAUCAGGCAGCCAUUCUAGGGUUUUCUUCAACAAAUCUCUGGCUUAAAUCUUCAUUGGUACAAAGGUAUGUAUGAUUAUUAAGGGUAUUUGUGCGAUUGAUUGUGAUGGGUACGUUUGUUUGUUUAAUUCUAGGUUUUGAAAUUCCAUAACUCUCUCUCUCGUUCUCCCUCCCUCUGUCUCUAGUAUUUUGGAUUUGGGGAUUUUCACAAGCAGUUAGUAUGUUUCUCUCUUGUUAGUGAUGGAGUUCAGUUCCAAGUUUAAGGUGUUGAUUUCUCAAGAUGAUUUCCCUCAAUGGUUGACUGGUUGAGUUUGUGUUUUAUAAACUUCUCAUUUUAGUAUGAUAGUGUUAUAUUUUAUCCUAAUUAGAAAUCAUAUGUACCAUUGUAGUUCGCUAGCGGGGAAAAGGUAAUUUUUAAGUUUGCAUAUGAAUCGAGGUAUGUUUAAUUUGGUUUACCUGUGAGCUUGAAUUCCUACUUUAGUAGUUUUAUUAGGCUUCCAUUAGUUAUGGUAGCAUCUUAUAAUACUCUUUGGUGAAUUACAGGCAUGGAAAAUGAAGGGAAGAGUAAGUCUUAGGAGUUUGUACCAGGCAAGGAUAGUAAUAGUUAUUAGCUUGUCUCCAAUGUCAGUGUGAGGUAACUUCAGUUCAAGCAAAGAUAAUAUUGAUUGUUUGACUGAGAUGAUACACACCCGAAUAAAGAAAAUCAAUGGUGACAUUUCUGAGAUUUCCCCUAUUGGAACUAAGCAGAGGACUGCUAAGAUCUGAAUUUAAUCUCAUAGUUCUGCUUAAAAUGUAGUCUUUGAAAGGCUUUGGUGGAGCAUAACUUAUUAUCAAAUAAAAAAAUAGUAGUGGGCAUAAUGUGUCAUGAUCCAUAAAGUAGUGAUCAUCUCCUUGUAAACUGCAAUACACUUUGUUAUAUUGAUACCUGCUCCUAACGUUGAUGUGCCCUUUUAAUGUUUGAAUAUUGCCAAUUUGUCCAAGUAUUUUGCCGUUGUAUACAGAUAACUUCCCCUAGUAAUUCACAUCCUUGCAGCUGCUUCUGAAGGGUUGUGUGCUUCUGUUAGUUGGUUGCAUAUAUUUGGGUUCAUUAGAUGAAGGAUUGCUUUUAAGAUUAACAUUUCAUACAUCACAUAAACAUUGUUCAGCUAAUUAGACCUGUCUUUCCUCUCUGUUAUAGCGUUAUCGAUACAUUGAGGCAUAUACAAGUAUACAUAUAAUAGGAUCUGGAGGGACAGAUUUUACAUGAUGGGUUUAUCUAACAAAGAUAUAGUAGCACUAUCAGGAGGACACACACUGGUAAGUUGCAUCUACAAAAUUGUUUUUGACUCAUACUCUUGUAUAUUUUGCUUCUGGGACAAACUCAAAGCUCUUUCACUCUGAAAUCAUAUUCAUGCAGUUAGCCACUCUUUUGGUGUUUUGUGUGAUAGGGGCCGAGGGGGACGAGGAACUGGGCCAGGCACACUUUUGCACAAGUGCUACAACCAAUUCUUCAAGAACUCACAGAAACUUUGGCUGAAAAGCAUGUUAUCAUUAUCCAAAACAUCAAGAUAAUAAACGGAUCUAAACUAAAAAAAGGUAAUUAAUGGUUGUUGUUUUCCCUUUUCAGGAAAGCCCUUGGGGUUUCAUUAGUAAAAUGUUUUUUAGUUUCUUCUGGCUAUAUAUGUUGAACUGCCUUCAUUGGGUUUUUUGUAUUGGUUCAUCCCGCUCGGUCAAUCAUGAGUUUUCAUUACUAGAAUUCAAGAAUACUUUUGCUGCUAGGGUGAUUUAGAUAUGCAAAACAUGGGGGUUCUCUUAGAAAUUAUGGAAGCUUUUGAUAUGCUAACUGCGAUGAGGUCAAGAGGUUUUACUUUUGUAAUUCAUAUACAUUAAUUUAAUUUUCUAAUUCCUCUGCUCUAGAUUUGUUACCUAUACGUUCCCUGAAUUUCUUUCAUCUUAAAAAUGGUUGUAUGUGUUUGUCUAUACUAUAUUCAAUAUAGAGAUUAAGUUUGUGAUAGUUUUGUCUAUUACCAGCGACUAACAGUCUUAGGAAGUAAUGCCAUACAUAUAGAUGCUAGAUAGGUGGACCUUGAGCAAAAGUUUGUAACCAAAAUCAAAACAGUUAUCGAGGGGACUUGCAUUUCCUUCUGAACAGUGUAUGUCCUGCAAGAUUCUGGCAUUGCUUUGUUUGAUACAAUUAUAGACUAAUAGUUAAAACUUAAAACUAAAACUACAACUGCAGAAGAUUUGAAGGUUGUACAUCAUUUUAGUCAGUAAAGUCUAUACUUCUUCAGCUACUCCUUUGCCUGUAUUUUGCUAUAAUAAGCCAAAAAAUUAAAGAAUUAUACAAAAAAUUUACGGCUGCAUGACGAUUACUCUUGUACUUUUAGAGGGAUUACUUUGGAAACUUGUAUAACAGUAUGGCUAUUUUCCUGGUGUAAAGUUAAUACAUUGAUUCUUUUCCAUAUUAAAAGCAUAACAAUAUGGCUAUUUUUUUGGUAUAACAGUAUGGCUUAGUGCAGUGCAAUAAGUGCUCAUAAUGGAUUUGUUACAGCAAACGAUGAAAAAAAUCUCAAAAUGGGUUUGUAACAGCAAACGAUGAGAAAAUGUCAAAAUCGCUGAAGAACUUCUUCACCAUUCGCGAGGUAAACCGAAAAAUUGUCUAAUUGUUUUUUCACAUAAUUGUUGAAGCAUUGUCUGCAAUCAUGCCUUUUAGAACCUUGUCCCGCUAGUUUAUCUGACAUUCCUAAAUUAGAACCUUGGUAAAAUUCCUAAAUUAGAACCUUGUGGCUCUUGUGUGACUGAGACUGGUAAAAUUCUUUCAGGAGAAUGCAGCUGCAGCAGCAUAGAAGGCUUGACUUAUUGAUUUUAACAACAUAGAAGUUGCAAUGUUGCUGAAUAAUGUGAAGUUGGUAUCUCGAGCCCGUUCCCAGGGUAAAGAUCUAUUCAAUAUAGUAGUAAUUAUAUUGAAAAGUGAAUUUGAGAUGUAUGGAUAGUUUGGCAUUAUUGAGAUGUAAACGUAUUGUAUGGUAUUAAUAUUCUUUGUAAUUGGCAUUAAAAAGAAUUAUUGGGAUGUAAACGUAUUGUAUGGUAUUAAUAUUCUUUGUAAUUUUAGUUAUAUAUCAGGCAUUAGCAUAUUGCAGGUGCAUUGGUAAUAUAGGUGAACCACCAUAUUUAUUUAUUUUUUAAUCUACAACAUUUUAAAAACGUUGUGUGAAAGUGUUUAAACGUUG
rnacentral:lncRNA from 1 species